rnacentral:misc_RNA from 1 species
GAUGAAGAACGUAGUGAAAUGCGAUAAGUAAUGCGAAUUGCAGAAUUCAGUGAAUCAUCGAAUCUUUGAACGCACAUUGCGCCCAUUAGUAUUCUAGUGGGCAUGCCUGUUCGAGCGUCAUUUCAACCCUCAAGCCUAGCUUAGUGUUGGGAAUCUGCUGUAUUGCAGUUCCUCAAAUACAACGGCGGAUCUGUAACAUCCUCUGAGCGUAGUAAAUUUUUAUCUCGCUUUUGUUAGGUGUUGCAGCUCUCAGCCGCUAAACCCCCCAAUUUUUGUGGUUGACCUCGGAUCAGGUAGGAAUACCCGCUGAACUUAAGCAUAUCAAUAAGCGGAGGA